GAGUGACCUACCCAGAGGUGGGGGAUAGCCAUCCGAAAGGAUGGGUAAUACCGCGUAAGCUCGUCGGAGUCAAGCCCGACGAGGAAAGCAGCAAUGCGCCUUUGGAGGGGCUCGCGGCCCAUCAGGUAGUUGGUGAGGUAACGGCCCACCAAGCCGAUGACGGGUAGCUGGUCUGAGAGGAUGAUCAGCCAGACUGGGACUGAGAGACGGCCCAGACUCCUACGGGGGGCAGCAGGGGGGAAUCUUGCACAAUGGGGGAAACCCUGAUGCAGCGACGCCGCGUGGAGGACGAAGGUCUUCGGAUCGUAAACUCCUUUUGACGGGGAAGAUGAUGACGGUACCCGUCGAAUAAGCCCCGGCUAACUACGUGCCAGCAGCCGCGGUAAUACGUAGGGGGCGAGCGUUGUCCGGAUUUACUGGGCGUAAAGAGCGCGUAGGCGGCUCGUUAAGUCGGCUGUGAAAGCUCCCGGCUCAACCGGGAAGGGUCAGCCCGAAACUGGCGAGCUCGAGGGCGGUAGAGGAAGGUGGAAUUCCGGGUGUAGUGGUGAAAUGCGUAGAUAUCCGGAGGAACACCGGUGGCGAAGGCGGCCUUCUGGGCCGUACCUGACGCUGAGGCGCGAAAGCGUGGGGAGCGAACUGAAUUAGAUACUCAGGUAGUCCACGCCCUAAACGAUGGACGCUAGGUGUCGGGGGUAUCGACCCCCCCGGUGCCGAAGCUAACGCAUUAAGCGUCCCGCCUGGGGAGUACGGCCGCAAGGCUAAAACUCAA
rnacentral:rRNA from 1 species